rnacentral:rRNA from 1 species
AUUGAACGCUGGCGGCAGGCCUAACACAUGCAAGUCGAGCGGAUGAAGGGAGCUUGCUCCUGGAUUCAGCGGCGGACGGGUGAGUAAUGCCUAGGAAUCUGCCUGGUAGUGGGGGAUAACGUCCGGAAACGGGCGCUAAUACCGCAUACGUCCUGAGGGAGAAAGUGGGGGAUCUUCGGACCUCACGCUCUCAGAUGAGCCUAGGUCGGAUUAGCUAGUUGGUGGGGUAAAGGCCUACCAAGGCGACGAUCCGUAACUGGUCUGAGAGGAUGAUCAGUCACACUGGAACUGAGACACGGUCCAGACUCCUACGGGAGGCAGCAGUGGGGAAUAUUGGACAAUGGGCGAAAGCCUGAUCCAGCCAUGCCGCGUGUGUGAAGAAGGUCUUCGGAUUGUAAAGAACUUUAAGUUGGGAGGAAGGGCAGUAAGUUAAUACCUUGCUGUUUUGACGUUACCAACAGAAUAAGCACCGGCUAACUUCGUG